AUGUCCGCCUCAGCUGAUCGCUCUCCCCCGUGGGAGGAAGGCCGCGCCUCGGUCCGCAUCAGGUUUUCCUCUUCUGCCCCCAGCGGGACGCCGGCCGAGAGGCUCACCGACGACCUCCUGGUGGAGAUCCUCUCCCGUGUCCCGGUCAAGUCGCUCUGCCGCUUCAAGUGCGUCUCCAACCACUGGCUGAGCCUCAUCCACCACCCGGACCACCGCAAAAAGCUCCCACAGACCCUGGCCGGCUUCUUCUACACCACCGACGACUUUGAGCGCAUCCCGAUCUCAGCAUACCAUCUCGCCAAUUUCUCUGGGAGAAGCUGCCCUCCGAUAGACACAUCUUUCUCCUUCCUGCGGAACCACCGGCGCGUCGAUCUACUGGAUUGUUGUGCCGGCCUCCUCCUCUGCAGCUGCUACACGGGCGAGGGUGACCGUUACAUCGUGUGCAAUCCCGCGAGGGAGGAGUGGGUGAUGCUGCCGGAAACCAGCAAUGCAGGCACGAGGGGCACUGUAAGUUUGGGUUUCGAUCUGGCUGUGUCGUCCCACUUCCAUGUGUUUGUGUUGCUGGCGUUCAUGGAUCAUGAUGGUAACCUUGGCCGUGGCCUCACGAGGGUGGAUAUUUUUUCGUCCGAAACCGGGAGAUGGGUUCGUAAAGAAAAGAGAUGGAACGAGAAUCUUUAUUUUCUUGGUCCUAGGCACCAAUCUACCGUUUUCCUCAACGGCUAUAUGCAUUUUUACGCCUACAGCAUCACGUCAUCCCAUUGUGUAGUCGUGGUUGACAUGGAGGGGGAAACAUGGACGACCUUCCGUAUCCCUGGCCAUCUGCGGCAUGGUUUUCUUCAGCUGUCACAGGGCUGCUUGCACUAUUCCAGUUUUCAGGAAGAUGAAGAUGAGGUGGUUCGACUAGUUGUUUAUGUUCUUGAGGACUAUGACAACAAAGAGUGGAUGUUGAAGCAUAUCAUUGAAACUUCACACAUAUCUGGAUGGACACCUAUUGACCACCGUUGUAUCGCAAUUCAUCCGGAGUAUGACUUGAUCUUCUUCACCGUGGGAGUGGCUACCAAAAUCAUGUGCUAUGAUAUGAAUAGUCGGCAAGUCAAACUGAUCUCCAAUGUUGAAUAUGAUAAUCCACCAUAUCUUCUAUAUGUCCCAUUGUAUGCAGAGAUACAAUCAUUGCACACAUGA
rnacentral:rRNA from 1 species